rnacentral:rRNA from 1 species
GACGAACGCUGGCGGCGUGCUUAACCCAUGCAAGUCGAACGGAAAGGCCCUGCUUUUGUGGGGUGCUCGAUUGGCGAACGGGUGAGUAACACGUGAGUAACCUGCCCUUGACUUUGGUAUAACUUCAGGAAACUGGGGCUAAUACCGGAUAGGAGCUCCUGCUGCAUUGUGGGGGUUGGAAAGUUUCGGCGGUUGGGGAUGGACUCGCGGCUUAUCAGCUUGUUGGUGGGGUAGUGGCUUACCAAGGCUUUGACGGGUAGCCGGCCUGAGAGGGUGACCGGCCACAUUGGGACUGAGAUACGGCCCAGACUCCUACGGGAGGCAGCAGUGGGGAAUAUUGCACAAUGGGCGGAAGCCUGAUGCAGCAACGCCGCGUGCGGGAUGACGGCCUUCGGGUUGUAAACCGCUUUCGCCUGUGACGAAGCGUGAGUGACGGUAAUGGGUAAAGAAGCACCGGCUAACUACGUG